rnacentral:lncRNA from 1 species
CCCCCCUAGGGUGGAUUGAAAAAUUAACAGCAAUGAAACAGGCGUGCAUUGCAGGUAAAGUUAGAUAUUAGGACAAUCUGUUUAAAUCUAGCUCAUGAUGUUUUACCCUGGUGAAUAUGAUUCAACCAUAUACGAUUAAAAAAUAUAUUAUGAGUUACUACUGCAAUGCAACAUUUGUCCUACCAUAACCCUAACCCAUGGCCCGUCUUCAUACAGCGAAAUGAUUUGAACACAGGGCUUUUUUUAAGAACUUGUCUGGGGGGCAUCUACAAAAAGGGACCAUACUAUACUGAGUGUGGAGAGAUGACAGAUGGUUGUUGGUGACAAGAAGUUUGGUGUGGUAUUGUAUGUAUUAGUAGGGGGGUCUGGGGAAAAUUUUUUCAGUGUAUUUUUCCCUAGGACUGAAAUGUGAG